rnacentral:misc_RNA from 1 species
GAUGAAGAACGUAGCGAAAUGCGAUACGUAAUGUGAAUUGCAGAAUUCAGUGAAUCAUCGAAUCUUUGAACGCACAUUGCGCCCGCCAGCACUCUGGCGGGCAUGCCUGUUCGAGCGUCAUUUCAACCAUCAAGCCCCAGGCUUGCGUUGGAGCCCUGCGGCUGCCGCAGCCCCCUAAAAGCAGUGGCGGGCUCGCUAUCACACCGAGUGCAGUAGAUUACUCUUCGCUCAGGGCGUGCAGCGGGUUCCGGCCGUGAAACCCCCUACUUUUAAAGGUUGACCUCGGAUCAGGUAGGAAUACCCGCUGAACUUAAGCAUAUCAAUAAGCGGAGGA